GUAUUUUAAAACUGCUCACAAGCCAGUAAAGCAAAAUUAGAUUCAUACAAAUUGUAAAUAAAAAUGUGUAGAAGCAUACCACAGAGGGGAGUUCAAUUUUUUUUUUAAUCAAACCACUAGUUCUAAACUGAUCCAAUUAUCUGUUUUUAACAUUUAACUAGGUCAAGGGCCCAUAUUCCAAAUCAAAUUUGACUAUUUAGCUAUAGGUGCCACACAGAGUGAAGAAACUAAAAAAAAUAUUUCAAAUGGGAAAAUAUUUGACCUUUGGUUAUCUUCACCCUGUACAAAAGGUCAUUCAAAUUUUAUGAAUCUAU
rnacentral:lncRNA from 1 species